GGCUACAUCAGACAUACGACUGAUGACUUCUGUUAUUAUAUUUCUUGAACAGGUCAUAUUCAGUUGCGAUAAUGAACACAAAGUUUGUAGUACAAAUGAAGCAAUGUAAUGAAAUUGAGGUGAGACAGGUCAUAUUAAUCCGAAAAUGUGAUUUGGUACAUCAUGGAAGUAUUUAUAUAUUGGUCAAAAGCCAUAGUGAUAAGCCGUGUUAGCGCAAUGGUUUCACAGGGUAUAUAGCCUUGUAUCAGUCGACUCAACAGAACAAUCAUCAUCUUCCUAACUAUGGUUACAUGGGCUACAGCAUACAUACCAGUUGUAACGGAAACAGAAACAGUGAUUAACAUAGCCACUGAUUUACAAAAAGAUAUAUUUAAAUGUGACGCUCACGGUAAAUUUGUGACCGGCCAAAAAACUUGCAUUUUAAAGUGUACAAUUGGGUGCACAUCCGUUGGUUGUGGUCUGUUCAAAAAAUGCGAGAAGAUGACCUUUUCUGAGCCAGUAGAACCGUACGCUAGUCAAUAUAAAUGCCAUUGCAACUUAGGUGGGACUAAUCUUAGGCCUGACGAAAUGUGAAUCAAAGUGCGGUCUCAAUAAAUACCAUAAAGCAAAUGAUC